rnacentral:rRNA from 1 species
UACAGAGGCCUCGAGCGUUAGGCGGAAUCACUGGGCUUAAAGCGUGUGUAGGUGGAUUUGUAAGUACCUUGUGAAAUCCCAUGGCUCAACCAUGGAACUGCUCGGUAUACUGCGAAUCUUGAGCCACUUAGGGGCUACCGGAACAAAUGGUGGAGCGGUGAAAUGCGUAGAUAUCAUUUGGAACGCCAAUGGUGAAAACAGGUAGCUGGGAGUGUGCUGACACUGAGACACGAAAGCCAGGGGAGCGAACGGG